CUGCAGUGCAUGAAAGCUGACCAGUCCUGCUGGCAGUCGUUCUGGUGUUCAAUGGCUGCAGACAGUGACUCUGUGGUUGUGUAUGAGGCCAGCUGGGAGGUGCUGGCCCCUUUAAGGGACCGCUGAGACAAAA